rnacentral:misc_RNA from 1 species
GAUGAAGAACGUAGCGAAAUGCGAUAAGUAAUGUGAAUUGCAGAAUUCAGUGAAUCAUCGUAUCUUUGAACGCACAUUGCGCCCGCUAGUAUUCUGGCGGGCAUGCCUGUCCGAGCGUCAUUUCAACCCUCAAGCCCCCGGGCUUGGUGUUGGGGAUCGGCGAGCCUCCGCGCCCGCCGUCCCCUAAAUCUAGUGGCGGUCUCGCUGUAGCUUCCUCUGCGUAGUAGCACACCUCGCACUGGGAAACAGCGCGGCCACGCCGUUAAACCCCCAACUUCUGAACGUUUGACCUCGGAUCAGGUAGGAAUACCCGCUGAACUUAAGCAUAUCAAUAAGCGGAGGA